GUAGACGCUGGGGAAGGGGGUAUCCCUCUUCGGAUCGCGCCCCCACCCCCCACCGGGGUCUCCACCCGAAUAGCCCCGACGUCCUUCGUGUCUGGCGUCCUAUCGCGUUUGCGAUGAUCUAGGGCCUCCCUCCUUUGGGGAUUUCUCGGGGGGGGGCGCUUAGGGGGUUCGCCGAUCUAGACGCGCCCCCAAAAGGGGGAUUCGGGUCAGGAGAGGGUCCACUUCUUAUUUUGCGUUCCUAGAACCGCUGAGGAAAUCCCUGCAAAUGUCCCCACUCCCGAUGUCGAGCAAAGAGGGGAGGGGUGAACACUCUGGGGCUCAUCCGCGCUGUGGACCCACCGGGACGCGAAGGGAAUCGAGGGAGUUGGGAAGGGAGCCUGCCUUCAGACCUCCCCACGAUUUCCUCUUGCAGAAAUUGCUGGCGGGUGGGGAGAGAGACAGAGACAGAGAGAGGGGGCUCGGAAAGCUGGAUCAAUAGACGAAUCACUAGAACCUGGGGAAUCCUGAGUUCGAAUCCUCGCCUGUCCUCGUGGCUCGCUGGGUGGUCUGGCAACAAGCCACUCUCAGCCGGGGCCUCUACGUCGGGGUCAUUUUCUCACCUCUUUCAAAUCGUGGGGGGAGUCUGGAUUCUUGAGAAUUGCGGGGGAGGGGAGGCGCAGGUAGUCGGGGCUGCGGCGAGAUCAAGCAAGCCUUUCCGGUCUCGUGCUGAUUCUCUCCUUCACCCCCCACCCCCCAAAACCCGGUGGCCUAGAAAGCCUGGAAAACAAUCGCAAGGGCAGAGGGAAGCCCGACGUUGCUUUUCCUGAAAGAAAGCCACCUGGGGCUAGACCAGCAGGGGAUUAGCAGGAUGCAAUCCAAAGAUGCAUCCGAGAUCUAAAGAUGCUCCCGAAGAUCAGGGCGUGAGGCCGUAGUGCCAAGGAUCGAUAACAACGCGCCUACGUUUUCAGGUGCUGUGCAUCAGAAAAAAGCAAAAGCAGAGCAGUGGCACCGUUUCGACUCCCAGAUUACCUUCGUUUUAAGCGUGACCCUAAGCUGGUUUAUCAGCCUCAUCAGCGGGAAGGAUCCGCAUCACAUUAUCAGGCGCAUCAUCAGUUAAUGAUGGAUUUGUCAGAGAAGAGUAUUGAACAGCGUCGGGUUCUGAAAGAACGGUCCUAGAGUUCUCAGACAGUCCAAAUCCUUCUAUAUGCUUCCCAAAUCUUCCUGCUAUUGCUUGAUGUGUUGGUGUAUACAAUAAAGUUGUACCAGUCCACAGUGAA